rnacentral:lncRNA from 1 species
CUGCCACACACCCCCACUGGGACGCCCGCGCUCACGUGUAACAUUUUUUAGAAAUAAUUUGAAGCCUAGGAUGAUUUUAUCUUCCUCCAUAAAGGACUGACUUUUGCUUUUGGCAGGCAGCUAGGGACGCUGGUAACCGGGGUAACCGUAUCCAAUGUCGGAAAUAGAGAUGAUCCAAAGAUUGACUUCUUUCCCUUUGAGAACAAAUCUACUUCCUGUUCUCCUUUAAUCCUAGGCUCUAAAUUCUUAACCCACAUUGGGAUCUCUUCUUUGGUAAUACUGUUUGGAUUACACGCGUUCAUUUCUGAGGUGUUAUCACAGAAGAUUCUUUAAGUAUUCCACAGAUGUCUAUGUUGGCCGUCACUAUUUUGUCCUUACUUGAGCUGGGCAGAGUUAAAGAGGAAGUAGUGCCCAUGCCCAGGCUGGGUGACUGUGAUAAUGAUAAAUAAGAGUUUUCAAGUCUAAGUGAAAAAUCACUGAGCUAGCGUGAGGGCAGGUGGGUUUAGUGUGAAACUCUGUCUUGCAUCACCGAGAGGUACUCCCUUUUGUGUAAAUUUUAGAGCACAGAGUCUUCUUUUUAUUGACAAAGAUAGCAUUUUCUUGUUUGUUCACUGGGUUCUUCGGAAUCUUUUAAACUCCUACUUGCUUUUUUUUUUUUUAAUAAGCACAAUAGAUAAUUAUUUUUCACAGUUCUAUAGCUUGAGGGUCGGCAUGGUUAAAUUCUGUGAGCAUGCUCUUCUAGGAUGCAGACUGCUCUGUUUGCUUGUUUUUUUCCUCUGAAGAUCAGGCAAAUGAGUCCUGAAGUUGAUGUCAGUAAAAAAAGAUAGAAAAACAAACAAACAAAACCAUUAUAGUAGGUGUAAAGAGACACUGAGGAUUGUGUUACGUGAACAGUAUAUUUGUAACCUGUAGCAGGGAGGAGACCUGGGAUGGUCUUAGUGCAGACCCUUCAUUUGGUUAGACUUCCAACCAAAUAAUUUUGUCUUUCCCUGAAAUAUAAAAAAAAACUCAUGAUCUCAUUUCAUAAGAUGACGUUAGUUAGAAGAGGCAAAAUAACUUUCAGCAGAUUUUGGAACUUUAUUGAAAGAAAAUGAUAGGGACAUGUGAUUAAUUGAAAAUUGAAAAGUAAACGGAGUGGUAAAAUUUGGCAUUUCCCCCCUCAGUACUAAGUACUUCAAUUUAGUAUCUGUUUCUGGCCAGAUGUUGUUUGUUAUUGCUAC